GCAGCCGCGGUAAUACGUAGGUGGCAAGCGUUGUCCGGAUUUACUGGGUGUAAAGGGAGCGCAGGCGGGAAGUUAAGUUGGAUGUGAAAUACCGGGGCUCAACCCCGGAGCUGCAUCCAAAACUGAUUUUCUUGAGUGGAGUAGAGGUAAGCGGAAUUCCGAGUGUAGCGGUGAAAUGCGUAGAUAUUCGGAGGAACACCAGUGGCGAAGGCGGCUUACUGGGCUCUAACUGACGCUGAGGCUCGAAAGCGUGGGGAGCAAACAGGAUUAGAUACCCC
rnacentral:rRNA from 1 species